CUCCACUAUGUGCUCUUACACCUUCAUCUUCUUUUUUUUUAGUAUGUUCUGGGUUGGGGUGCACUAGACACAGGUAGCCUGCCACUCAUGGGUCCUUUCUGGACUGCUCACUUACCUGGUCAUUGAAGAUCUCUGAUUAGGUUCCAGAGUUCAUGACAACUCUGGAACAGCUAGCUGAGAUGGUGCACGUUCUAAUUACACUCUGGCCAGAGCUUCAGAUAAGAACUUCAAUCAAAACAAGGACUUCAAUCAAGAUAAGGACUUCUAUUAAGAAUGUCAAUCAAAUAUCUCCUGCCAAACAAAAGCUGGGUACAAAUGUUGUAGCUAGUUCACUCAAGACUUUCACUACUAUAACAUUUUCUUCCUACAGGACCCCAUGGGGCAAUCGUCAUUCCAUUUCACCAGGAAGUAACUCUGAGAAUACUACCCC
rnacentral:lncRNA from 1 species